AUUGAACGCUGGCGGCAGGCCUAACACAUGCAAGUCGAGCGAGCGGCGGACGGGUGAGUAAUGUAUGGGGACUGCCCGAUAGAGGGGGAUAACUACUGGAAACGGUGGCUAAUACCGCAUACUAUCGGAUAACCCAUAUGGGAUUAGCUAGUAGGUGGGGUAAAGGCUCACCUAGGCGACGAUCUCUAGCUGGUCUGAGAGGAUGACCCUCCAAACUGGGACUGAGACACGGCCCAGACUCCCACGGAGGUAGUAGUGGUGAAUAUUGCAGAAUGGGCGGAAGCCUGAUUGAGCCAUGCCGGGGGUAUUAAGAAGGCCUUAGGGUUGUAAAGUACUUUCAGCGAGGGGGCGUUACCCGCAGGAGAAGCACCGGCUAACUCCGUGCCAGCAGGCGGGGUAAUAC
rnacentral:rRNA from 1 species